CGUUAGAUGAACUUCCCAGUCGGUCACCCAUCUUAGUUGUGCUCUAAGUCAAGCACGCUUAACCUUGAAGUUCCUUUCGAGUGGUCACAGUACAGAACACUCGUAUUAUUAAUAUAUCUAGUACCUAUCAAUUCAUUUUAAACUCUAUUUCAAUAUAUAUACAAUAGCAUACAUUCAUAAUUAAUUAAAAUUUCGUUUAAAAUUAAAAAAGAAAAAGAAAAAAAUCCAAGCAAACCCUUGAAAGCACAGAAAAGCAGACUAAGGGCCGAACCUCGUUAAAACCUUACUAAGGAAAACCCAUAGGAAAACCACCCUUAACAAGGAAAAAGAGUACUCGUCAAGAAGACAAACAACGACAAAAAUAGCGAAGAAGGGUGGAAAAACUUCAGGAGCUCCGGCCUAAC
rnacentral:lncRNA from 1 species